UACUUCGAAUAGAAACCAGUUUUGUUUCGUCGUUCGUCUUUCGUCUCUUGUCUCCAUCUCUUUUCUUUUCUUCUGAAAAACACCUCCACCGUGAAAGAAGAACAAAUGCUACGGAAAAUCAGUGUCUUAACAUAAGACUUGAAUAUAGCAACCAUUGCAAUUGUUGUCCAUUUCUCAUUCUACGGAAAUCUAAGACUUUAACAUCAGAGGGAGGCUACAACAAGGGGUUAAUGGAGUUUAUUGUGAGUGAUUGUGAUGAUUGAGAUUCUAUCUUUAAGGAACUGAAUUUCACGGAGUAACAGAUAAAAUCCUUGGACGAACAUACUGAAGUCCAAACUGAUUUUUGUGCACCUUCAAGUGAAUGCGAAUCAGGUAUGCAGAAUUCCGGAUAAGAUUGAGGCAGACACUGAUGUGACAAAACUCCCCCCUUGAAAACUCACAUUUUUCACACAAUUCCUUAUAUGGUCGAGAUUUUCUAUACUUCAACCAUGGCAACCAUACUUGCUCUAUAGAGAGGGGCCAGGAUUUUUAAGGAAGAAAUCAGGUCUUAUCAGGUUUAUCUGUUAUAAGAAAUGCCAAGUGGAAUUGAACCCAUUGGUUUCGAUUUAAGGUCCGUGUUGUAUCUAUUUUGGGGGGUUCUGCAAUAGUCAGUUAGCUGUGUAACAUUUAAAAGAUUCUUAGGUUACAUUGGUUAAUUGAUUGUCCACGGCGGAAAUAUAGCUGCGUACUAUUGAUCCAAAGAAUAAAAAAGUCAAAUUGAUAUGGAAAAAUAAGGCAGGCGCAUCGCGCAUGCAUGUUAUAUUAGUAUGCAAAAUAGAAAGAUAGGAAAUCUGCAAACUGCGAGAGAGAAAAUCGUUCCUGGAAGUCAUUCAGUGCAUUUUUCUUGGGAGCAAUUUGGGGUACACUACGACAAUACAUGCUUUAGAUCACAUACCAAUGAUACCAUAGAUCACAUUUGAUGAAAACCUAUUAUUAUUAUCUUUUGAUAGCAAAAACUUAAAGAUCAUUAAUCUUUUGAUGUUUGUGAUCUAAUAGUAAACCACCUUUCUCAAGUUGACUCCAAAAAAAUCAUUCUUUACCCCUUGAGAGUAUUUG